GGAAGCUAGAAGUUUGGGCCAAGAGCUGAAUGGCCAUCUGCUGGAGCCCAGCGCCUAUGCUGAGCUCCAUGGCCUCCUGCGUCACCGAGGGGACCCAGUUCUCGCUAGUGAUGCACAGCCUCAAAGAUGAGGAGAAGCUUCUAGAGCCAAGAGCCUCAGCCCCAGAGUCUGGAUCACUUGAUCAGCAUCCAUCCGACCUGCUACUUUACUAGCAGAGGAUUUGUUAGACCAAUGAAUCAUCAUUCUCAAAGCAACGUGCCUGAGGCACACACGUGUACAUCUGGACGGCCUCACAGACCUGACCUGACUUGGGAGUAGGUGUGGAUGUUCCUGUUCUACAAAUGGAAAGCACCAAGGCUCUCGGCCACCUGACCAGCUGGCCUUCCCGAAACCCCGUACUGAUGGAUUCAGUCAGGACCUGAGAGCACCAGGUGCCUGCUUCCCCAUGUGUUCUCAUAUCUACAUCUGAAGAAGGUGAAGGGAUAAACCUCGUAGUGCUGCUAUGUAGAGAGAUGUUCCCUUGCAGACAUGA